GGGCGGGGCCAGGCGGAGCCUCCCGCCCCAGGUGGAAGCAGAAGAGCGGGGGCUGUGCGGUGGCUUGAGUGGCCCGUGUGGUUCGCGCUUUUGGUCUAAGAACUCUGGCAAGCACAAAAUCGCGAAGAUUUUCUGCUGUUUUCUUCUACACGUUUUAGGAUGAAGGAAAGAGAAGAGAGGAGAGGGGCAUUAACAAGAAAAGAUCUUCUGAUCAGAAAGAGAUGAUGAUGGCUUUUACAACUCCAACCUUAUCAAAUAUUUUGUCGCAACUUUCUGCAGGCAUUUUCGAACAGAAGCAAAGGUGUGAGAGUAGUUUGAAAUGCAAGGACAUGUGCUUCUUUUAAAGAUUUAUGUCUCUGUUGAUGUUGUUCCUCUAAUUCUUCAAGCUCUUGGCCUGCCUUUAGUCAAGUCGAGCUCAUUCUGAAGUCUCUCCUGGGAGUCCUGAAGACUAGCAAUGAGGCCUUCUGCAGAGCCAAGACCUUGUUCACUUUUCCUCACCAGAUCUUGGAGGCGGCCA